rnacentral:rRNA from 1 species
GACGAACGCUGGCGGCGUGCUUAACACAUGCAAGUCGAACGGAAAGGCCCUGCUUGCAGGGUACUCGAGUGGCGAACGGGUGAGUAACACGUGGGUGAUCUGCCCUGCACUUCGGGAUAAGCCUGGGAAACUGGGUCUAAUACCGGAUAGGAGCCAUUUUUAGUGUGAUGGUUGGAAAGUUUUUUCGGUGUAGGAUGAGCUCGCGGCCUAUCAGCUUGUUGGUGGGGUAAUGGCCUACCAAGGCGGCGACGGGUAGCCGGCCUGAGAGGGUGGACGGCCACAUUGGGACUGAGAUUCGGCCCAGACUCCUACGGGAGGCAGCAGUGGGGAAUAUUGCAAAAUGGGCGCGAGCCUGAUGCAGCGACGCCGCGUGGGGGAUGACGGCCUUCGGGUUGUAAACUCCUUUCGCUAGGGACGAAGCUUUUUGUGACGGUACCUAGAUAAGAAGCACCGGCUAACUACGUG